rnacentral:rRNA from 1 species
AUAGAAUUAUUGCUGCGGUUAAAAAGCUCGUAGUUGGAUCUGUGCCGACUGGCCGGUCCCCCUUUUGGGUGCGUACUGGUUCGGUUGGCUUUUCCGCCGGAGUGCCUGGCGUUGGUGCGCUCGCGAGGGUGUGCCAGCGCGGGUCCGGCAAGUUUACUUUGAACAAAUCAGAGUGCUUCAAACAGGCGUCUCGCCUGAAUGUUCGUGCAUGGAAUAAUAGAAGAGGAUUUCGGUCCGAUUUUAUUGGUUUUGCUGACCGAGAUAAUGGUUAACAGAGACAAACGGGGCCAUUCGUAUUGCUGCGUGAGAGGUGAAAUUCUUGGACCGUAGCAAGACGGACUACAG